rnacentral:tRNA from 1 species
AGUCUUAUAUUCAAUAGUGAUUUAAAAUUGCAAAUUUUAAGGGGUAUUUAUUUACAAUACUAAGGCUU